ACCAGACAGGGAAUUUCCACUAACAUCGAACAGGGUCAUACAAGGAACUGGAAUCUCCUUAACAAGCUCUCCCUUGAGCCUAUUAUUACUCAAGUCCAGAUACCACAACUUGUUGCAGUGACUGAGCUCAUGGGGAAUUUCCCCAGUGAAAAAGUUAAAGGCCAAAUUGAUCAUCUCCAAUUUCUCACAAGCACCCCAGUCACUUAGCAAGCUGUCCUCAAGAGUUGCACUUG
rnacentral:misc_RNA from 1 species